rnacentral:rRNA from 1 species
GACGAACGCUGGCGGCGUGCUUAACACAUGCCAGUCGAACGGAAAGGCCCUGCUUUGGUGGGGUGCUCGAGUGGCGAACGGGUGAGUAACACGUGAGUAACCUGCCCUGGACUUUGGGAUAACUUCAGGAAACUGGGGCUAAUACCGGAUAGGAGCUCCGGCUGCAUGGUGGGGGUUGGAAAGUUUCGGCGGUUGGGGAUGGACUCGCGGCUUAUCAGCUUGUUGGUGGGGUAGUGGCUUACCAAGGCUUUGACGGGUAGCCGGCCUGAGAGGGUGACCGGCCACAUUGGGACUGAGAUACGGCCCAGACUCCUACGGGAGGCAGCAGUGGGGAAUAUUGCACAAUGGGCGGAAGCCUGAUGCAGCAACGCCGCGUGCGGGAUGACGGCCUUCGGGUUGUAAACCGCUUUCGCCUGUGACGAAGCGUGAGUGACGGUAAUGGGUAAAGAAGCACCGGCUAACUACGUG